GCAGUCGAGCGAAUGGAUUAAGAGCUUGCUCUUAUGAAGUUAGCGGCGGACGGGUGAGUAACACGUGGGUAACCUGCCCAUAAGACUGGGAUAACUCCGGGAAACCGGGGCUAAUACCGGAUAACAUUUUGAACCGCAUGGUUCGAAAUUGAAAGGCGGCUUCGGCUGUCACUUAUGGAUGGACCCGCGUCGCAUUAGCUAGUUGGUGAGGUAACGGCUCACCAAGGCAACGAUGCGUAGCCGACCUGAGAGGGUGAUCGGCCACACUGGGACUGAGACACGGCCCAGACUCCUACGGGAGGCAGCAGUAGGGAAUCUUCCGCAAUGGACGAAAGUCUGACGGAGCAACGCCGCGUGAGUGAUGAAGGCUUUCGGGUCGUAAAACUCUGUUGUUAGGGAAGAACAAGUGCUAGUUGAAUAAGCUGGCACCUUGACGGUACCUAACCAGAAAGCCACGGCUAACUACGUGCCAGCAGCCGCGGUAAUACGUAGGUGGCAAGCGUUAUCCGGAAUUAUUGGGCGUAAAGCGCGCGCAGGUGGUUUCUUAAGUCUGAUGUGAAAGCCCACGGCUCAACCGU
rnacentral:rRNA from 1 species